rnacentral:piRNA from 1 species
GAACAAGAAGACUAUCAAAGGGAGU